GGUUCCAUACCCCGGCGACCCAUGGAUAAAGGAUAAGGGUGUGUUUAAUCGUUUCCACCUUGGCUUGAUAGAGAUCACACACCAGGUCAGAUUCAGCACUACUCACCAUAAGGAGCGGACUAUGAUCGGACCCCCCAGCUGGUAGAGCAAAAGCUUCAGCUUCCGGGAACAUGAGCCGCCAAUCCAUUGACCAAAACACUCUGUCCAAUUUCUCCUUGACCAGAUUAGCCCCUUCUAUGUUAUUAGACUAGGUAAACGCGCACCUUUUACAUUCUAUUUCCAUUAACAAGCAAUCAUGGAUACAAUUUUGAAACGCAUGUGUUCUAUAACUCUCUGCCAUCCUUCUUCCCACUUUCUCCCAAUAAUAAAGUACUUCAUUGAAAUCCCCCAUGCACACCCAUGGGAGUGUAUUAGAAGAAGCUAUCUGUCUCAGUUUCUCCCAUAGCUAUAAUCUUUUCUCAUAUAUGUUUGGAGCAUGCACACAACUUAUCUACAUUUUUAUCUUACUCUCAUAAUCAACACGGAUCAAAUUAAUCAUUUCUUGAGAGCUAAAUUCCACUUCCAUAGCCAUUUCCUCAUUCCAUAACACCGCCAUCCCACCUGCAAUUCCUUUCGGUUCCUCCAAAAAACUAUUUUUAAACUUCAGCUGUCUUCUAAGGCGUGUUACCAUUGUUUAUUUGUUUUUUUUUUUCCAUUAACAAGAUUAAAUUGGGUCUUUCCUGAGCCACCAUGGCUUUCAAAUUCUGGACUGUCAGUGGUGUGCCCAACCCCUGACAGUUCCAACAAAUGGCCCUCAUUUUGUAACCCAGUGGUUUAUUUGGGCUAGCCACCAAAGCCCUUCCCAGAGUUUCUUCUGAAAGACUAAUAGGAGUAUCCUGCAAAUUUGCUUCAUCCAAACUAGUCAACUCUACAACUGAAGGGUGAUAAGAAGAAGAGGAUAUGACAGCUGGCUGAAACUACUGUUCUGGUUCAUCUAUAUUCAUAAUGCAUUUUCCUUUCUCCUGUUGCUGUUCCACUUGGUGUUCAUACUCAAAGGUAAAGGAUAAAAUAUCUUAUUCGUGUUGCGCAAAAUUUAGAGAGUCUACCUUCCAAGCUCGCUUCAUAGUGGUAAGAAAUGCCUGAUAAUUGAUAUUUCCUCCCGAAUACAAUUUACCGAACACCGUACGUUUACAUUCAUCUAACAUCUCCGCUGAAAUGACUCUUUCCCGAGGUGGGGCAUCCACCUUUGUUCGUAGAUUCCCAAGCCUCUUGCACAAUAAGGCUAGGUGACAGUCUUUUCCCCCGGGUUCAUCCAUUUAAAACUCCCCAAUAAGCAACUAUUAUGAAACACCAGGAGAGCCAUAGGUCAAAACCAAAACUCGCCCACUUUUCACCUUCUCUCCGCUGCAGAAAUACCAUCGAAGAUAUCCAUCCAGAUGUGUAUAGAAGGAAAAAACCCAUUCGAAGGAUACUCAAAGAUAGCCUCGAAGAAAUCCCUCACUGGAAACUAUUCAACAAAGCCAAACUUGUUGAAUCUCGCGCAGCGUGGAAGCGUCAACAUCAUCAACGAUCCAAGGAAAUGGAAGAGCAGAGCAGACCGAAGAUUGCACACUAGGUUUUGGGUUUUUGGACAAAACUAGGGUUUGGGGGCAACUACCAUAGAGGCAGGGAAGAGCUCUCGAGCGAGAGGGUAAUCCACAAUUCUUUUUUCUUGCAGAUUUGUUGACUUUCAUCAAGUGUGUGAAUUUUAUCAAGGUGUGGAUUUCACAAGCGAGAGUUACCACACCGUGAGCUUCACUGUUUCCUUGGUCUUGCUGAGAAGUAUAAUAAUUCCUCAUGCGGGAGUCCAUUGUUAGUGAACAUCCAUCCCCGCUUGCUUGUACGAACACCCCCAUCGCAGCAAUCCUUUAUCGAGAAGCACAUAAUCUUGCCUGCCAACCAUUACUGGUCAUCCUUGAGUUGAUUCCGUUGAGUUCAAAUUUGAUAAUAUUAUUUACGGAGUUAGGUAAUUAUCUUAUCUAAAUUUGAUUUGGAUA